GUUCUGGUUGCCGAGUGGUUAGAGUGUCCGCCUCAAAUGUGGGAGGUCACGGGUUCAAACCCCAGCCAAAUCA